UACAGAGGGUGCGAGCGUUAAUCGGAAUCACUGGGCGUAAAGCGCACGUAGGCGGAUGUGUCAGUCAGGGGUGAAAUCCCGGGGCUCAACCUCGGAACUGCCUUUGAUACAGCACGUCUCGAGUCCGGAAGAGGUGGGUGGAAUUCCUAGUGUAGAGGUGAAAUUCGUAGAUAUUAGGAAGAACACCGGUGGCGAAGGCGGCCCACUGGUCCGGUACUGACGCUGAGGUGCGAAAGCGUGGGGAGCAAACAGG
rnacentral:rRNA from 1 species